CAGACGUGCAAUAGAUGUCGUACAGAACAGAUCAGCAUAAUAAAUUAACAGUAAUCCGCAUGACACAAUGAGACAGAGAGAGAGAGAGAGAGAGAGAGAGAGAGAGAGAGAGAGAGAGAGAGAGAGAGAGAGAGAGAGAGAGAGAGAUAUG